rnacentral:lncRNA from 1 species
AAUAGCUGGCGGAUGUAUAAUUUAUAUAUAAUACGUGUAUAACUAAUGUAUACCGGCCAGAAAAAGUAAACAGUGAAACUAGCCGUCUAUUUGUGUAACAACCUAUUUAUUUAUUAUUUAUUUGUCCUAAUCAACUUGAGAAAUUUAUUAACAUGAUGUGAAAAAAAAUCAAGAUUUACGAAAAGAACAACAUCUCUUCACAAUUUCUUCAGAAGUAAAAGUUACCAUAACGUAAUAAAACUAAGUUCUACGCCCGAUACAAGCUAAGAGGACUAAGAGUUUUAUUUAAAGAGAGUAAAUGAAAUAUAACAUUAAUGUACAAACAGAGGCGGAUCCAAAAUUUUGAUUAUAUGAUUCUAAAAAAGAUAGCUUACUGCGUUCUUUUAUUUUCCAUUUCUUAAAAUGUAGCAUCUAAAAGAGGGAUUGGCGACUAAAAGAACUUACAACAGCAAGCAUAGCCCAUCUGCAGUGAAUGAGUUCAGAUUCUUUGUAUCUCUCCAAGUUUGAUGGUACUUCUCCUAGACCAAGUGGAUCAAAUCCAAAGUCUCUGCAUUCAUUCCCAACUCAAUAUUUAUGUUCAUAAAGUUAAUGUUUCAAAUUAUAUGACCAAAAAAAAAAGGUUUCAAAAUAUAUACUUCCUCAGCCCAAAAAAGAAUAAUGGGGUUCACUGUGCGAUAUCAAUGCAUCUAAUUUUCGUAUAAAAUUGGACAGCUAUAUCUUAAUCUUCUUUAAACAAAAUUUGCAUACUUACAACUCGCAUAUAAAACAAUGCAAAUUAAAUACAGUUAAAAAUAUUUAACAAAUAGUCAUUACAAAAAUUGUUUGUCACCUAAAAUAGCAAUAAGUUUUAUUCUUUCGAGAGAAGAAAAGGCUCCCUUCAACGCAAUUUAUAUGACGAUUUUUCUCUUUUGGUACGUCUCAGAAAAUUUCAUGCUUCCAGAAUUUAAAUCUAUUAAACUAUAUUUUAAACCUUAAUGCCUAUCAAACUUACUUUUACUUUAGUAUUUUCCAUUCAGUCAAAUUAACGUCUUAUACCUCGUGUCAGAUCAAAUGUCAUCAUGUCAAUAAAUUAAAUUAAAGGUAUACAAUUUCAUUUUCAAGUGAUGAGCUUACCCGGGGGCUGAACCGUCGAGGUAGGAAGGGCGGGGUUGGCCGGGCAUCCACUCGGCGGACAUGGUGAACCUAGAUGUAGCAUUGGUGGCUCCGGCAGAAAACGGCACGGCGGCAGCGAAUUUAGACUUGGAAGAAGAGAGGACAGAGGGGCAA